rnacentral:rRNA from 1 species
GACGAACGCUGGCGGCGUGCUUAACACAUGCAAGUCGAACGGAAAGGCCCUGCUUUUGUGGGGUGCUCGAGUGGCAAACGGGUGAGUAACACGUGAGUAACCUGCCCUUGACUUUGGGAUAACUUCAGGAAACUGGGGCUAAUACCGGAUAGGAGCUCCUGCUGCAUGGUGGGGGUUGGAAAUUUUCGGCGGUUGGGGAUGGACGCGCGGCUUAUCAGCUUGCUGGUGGGGGAGGGGCUUACCAAGGCAUGGGCGGAUAGCCCGCCUGAGAGCGUGGACGGGGUCAUUGGGCCUGAGAGACGGCGCAGACUGGUACGGGGGGCAGCAGGGGGGAAUAUUGCACAGCGAGCGCGCGCGUGAGGAAGAAACGCUGGGGGUGGGAAGACGGCUUUCGGGUAGUGAACCGCUGUCGCCUGAGACGCAGCGGGAGUGACGGUAAUGGAUAAAGAAGCACCGGCUAACUACGUG